GUAGAAAUAUUUCCUGUGCUGUUGCAAGCCAGCAGCAGACUGAUUUGCAAAGCAAGCUGUCUUUGUGAAGACAGCUCAAUUCUUAGAAAUAUCACAAACAGGAAAAUGGGAUAAAAUAAGCAAACAACAUUUCCAUCAUUCCAGUUCCAUGACGGUCUUUCUCCUGCGGGCAUCCAAGCACAACUCAAAGCUCAACUGAUUACAUGUAGGCAUCUACUUCAGAUAUUUGUACAAGAAGGAAUGGGCUCUGAAUUUUGACUAUGUUUUCUAGACACAAAGGGAAGUGUAUGGACCUGACGAUGAGGUUGUCACAGAUGUCACUAUGGAUCAAUCUGGGGCUCUUCUCCAUCUUGCACAAGUAGCCUUUUUGUUCUUUCUGAAAACGGUAGACUUGCUCAGUCUGCCUUGUGCGCACAAGACAUUGGAUUCUACUAUUUUUUAGACAGAAGUCACCUAUUCUAAGACUCAAGCUCACUAAAGUUUUUCAAAGUAACCAGGAACUCUCAAAAGGAAGUGGAAAGAAGUCCAAAAAGAAGAGAAGAUUGCUGCGUGAGGUGAGGUGCUGUUUAUUCCCAAUGAAGGAGGUGACUCCUGACCAAGGCAAGAACAACCUAAUAGGGAUUAACCUUUCUGUCUAUCUAAUUCAAAUGUCCCAAAAUGCCCUAAAGCUAUGGAGGUGUUUGGGGUCUUCCGGUGGAAAAGCUCUGUGAACUGAAGCUGGAUGACCACCUACUGAAGAAUCUGUCACCAACCACACAUGGAUUUUGGAAAGAUUGUGUUUGUCUCUAUGAGGGAUGAAUUUGCAUGCAGUCAAAGGAAGUUCACCGACCUCUGAAUGGAGCAAUAAACAGUGUGCCCACUUUUCACAGCCUGCACUGGGCCACCAAACAAAUGAGUUUACUACUUCUUUAUUUGCCAGCACACCAGGGAAUUAAAUUUUUCUAUUAACCACGGGGCUGUUUUUACAUCAGCUGAAGGUAUCUAGCUAAUGUUACACAACACUGUUACAAAGCUAUUACUUCAGAAAUUGAUGUUAGCAAAAUUCUGGGUGAUGCUUAGACAAGCCAAUGGAAGGGAAGGGCAGGUAAGUAAGAUACUUAAGCCAUAAACUAGGUAGCCUGUGUACAUUAUAAACAUUAAUCUUUGCAAAAUAGACACACGGCUAUUCCCUGAACGUCACCAGCUAUUAAUUGCCUAAUCUGUGAUUGUAAACACGCUUCCAUUGUUUCCAAAGCAUUUAGGGAUUUAAAGGCUGAGAACAGUUAAAAAGCAGUCAAAAUUUAUUACCAAAUAGCUUGUUCUCCACACAGAUUUCCUUAACAGCUUUUUCCUUGGAAGGAUUUGAAAUUGCACCAUUUCAUAUCUCAAAGCAGCCAUCUCAGAGAUAAAUUGGAAGCAUUGAAGAUGAAGAAGGCCUUAGUAAGUCUUCAGAAACUCAUAGAUGGGUGAUCUUGCUGUAAAAAUUUGCAAAGUACUCACAUAUGAACAUAAGACUGCCUAUACCAGGCAAGACUAACAGUAUAUUUUUCCCAGGGUCCUGCCACCAGCAGAGACCAUAAGCAAAUGCCUAGUGCAUACGAGUAUAAGAAAAAGCAAAUUAAAUGAUAAUUUCCCCACAUGAUCUGCCAGCCAUCAUCAACGGCUUUCCAGCAGUACUUCUGCUCAGCAUAAGAUAUGCUGGCAUUGAUACAGGCAUCCUUCACCUUAGUAAACUUAUAGUAUUAGCCCAGUGGUCAGGCUGAAUUUUACACUCCAUUUUACAGUAUUUCUCCCCCGCCCCCCCAGUCUUUCUCUCCAUUAAUCCACUGUCAGCUCCUUGCCACAUCAGGCUAAAUGAGGUCUCUCAAGCUAUAGGAAUCCCGUGAUGCCAGACUCCUGGCUCGGACCACGUAGUGACGGACACACCAUGCAAUGGAUGGCCUGUCACAGCUUUCAAAAAUCAGCCUUGUGGCAUUGCAUUCUCCUGGCUGCAGUGCUGAACGGGAUCUGGCUGUGUUUCCCAGCACAGGGAAACCUGAUUUCUUCCACUCCUGGUCACUGAUUUGUGCAUUCUCAUCAGCAUUUCCUUCCCUCUCUAAAAUAACUCCCCUCAUAUUUUACUUGUAACUGAUUUCUUUGUAGAAGUGACAAUGUAUGUGUGUAUGUUUGUGUAUGUGUUUAUUAGAGAAAUGCAAUGUGAGUGGAAUAACAAUAUGCAUUGGUGAGAGCUGGCUAGAAAAAUAAGCUGUAUUUUGCAAAAAAACAGUCUUUCAUGUUUUGAGAAACACAUCUGAUGAUUCAUUUUGAUCUUCCUCCUUUUCAUUUUUAUUGAUGUAAAAUAAAGUCAGUUUCUAAUCAAAAAGCCUUUUUGGAAACAAGAAGUUUUAAUUUACGAAACUUCUAAAAAGUUAUCAUUUGAUGUUUUGAAGCUUUUUCUCCCACUUUAUUUUUGAAACAAAAUUUCUUCAAAAUCAAUAUGGCUUUGUGGAAAAUACUGGAAGCAUUGACGAAAGUUUCUGGAAAAUAUCAAUAAGCAAUGAGUUAUCAAUGAGCAGAGAGUAAAUACAACCAUGUAAGUGUCUUGGAAGAAAUAACUGACUACAAAAAUGUGUGUGCAGCAUUCCCAUAAAAGAAGAAUCUGUAGCUGCCUGCUCUUAAGAUCCAGUGGGUAGCUUUGUAGAUAGCAAUGCUUCCUGCAGUUUCCUUUCCUUUGUAACAUGCUGCAUAGCACUUUGCUCUGCUCUAAAUUUGUCUACAGUGAUCAGGCUUGCAUAUAAUUACUAUUCAUGUGUGCUCUCUAUGCUUUAGUCAUCACUCCUAAAUAUUGAAGAGCAUCUCUCUGUAAAAAGUAGAAGGAAUAAAAAUACGCUGCCCUUUUGGAGGUAUGCCAUUGUUUGCAUUAACGUUGCUUGGUGCUUCUAGAAAAUCUGGAAGUUGAACCUUUCCCUCUCAACGCUGAAUCAGUUUUUCACAAGGCUCAUCCUCGAGUUGUUCAACUCCAGUUCUUGAAAUCAUAAAAGCAGUAUUGGCUUUGCUUCCAAGACAAGGUCAAUAUAGCUUCAAGGUCUUACUCUGAAAUCUUGGUUGGGGCUGUAAGUGCUAUAUGUGUUUAGCAGAUAUGUUAUGUUUCUAUGAAAUGUUAAAAGAAAAUCACUUUGGCCAGUUGAAAUCUUAGAUUUCCAUAUAGAAGGGCCCACAGUAGUACUGGAAGCUCCUAAUCCUACUAAAAGUAUGAAGCCUUUUUCUAUGCUAUGUCAGAGAGAAAACAGUAAGUUAUACAAUAAAGGACUGCCUUGUUCCUGCUUGCCAGAAUGGAUUCUGAUACAAAGUGGUGGCAGGUGAGAAAACCAUUAACAGCCAAAAGGAUCCACAAUUUCUAGUAAGAGGAGAAAAGAAAUAAGUCAGGAUAAAGCCUGACAUGUCUCCGGAAUUUCAGUUGUCCUACAGCAGCUUUUUCAACAAGGCA